GGGAAGGUGGCUCAGUGGUAGAGCACUUGCCUUGCAUGCAGGAGGCCCUGGGUUCGAUUCCUCAGCCCCA
rnacentral:tRNA from 1 species